GCCAUGGUGGUUCAGUGGUAGAAUUCGCAACUUCCAUGUGGUAGGCCCAGGUUUGACUCCUGGCCUAUGCA
rnacentral:tRNA from 1 species